rnacentral:lncRNA from 1 species
AGCGUCCGGGAUAGGCGCUCUAUUUUGAAUCUUUGGCAUCUUCAGGGAUGGAAUCCCACAACUGAGGGAGACUGCGGUCUUGGGCGUGAGCAAGUGAGGAAGAGCGUGCUGGAGCGACCAGCAGCAAACCUCCUCAGAGAGGGCUCCUGCGUACGCUCCACACCUCUCCUAGUUGUGGUUUACACCCCACUGACUUCUCUCAUCACAUCCAGUGUCUCCAUCACCAGCGCCAUCAGAUACUUUUCUCAGUGAGUCUGAAAAUGAUGGGAAAGGCUCUCAAGCAGCCUAACGAGCACGCUACCACCAGCACCCUUCACAAACUGAGCCCAGAACUUUCUUGAAGAAAGGAUGCUGCUGGUCUCCCAGACCUUCCUGCUCAAAACCAUAAGUUGGAAACACUCUGCAAUAUGCUGCAAAAUCUUAUGUUUUGGACAUCUUCAUCAAAUAUUAAGCAGCAGUAGUAGUACAUUUAACUUUGGCAGUAACCAACAGUCCUUGAAUCGGAUUUAAGACAUGCUCACCAAGAGGGAAAGUAUGAUGUGUACUAGAAAACUAACCAACUGCCCAGAGCUUGUGAAGUCAAGCGUCUUGACGAAGAACCUACAAGUCACCAUUUUACUGAACCAGCACAGUCAGACAAGUGAUUAAUCUACCUACGGCUCUGCUGGCACACCCAGAUGUCCUGAAACUUUCCCGAGUGUGUUCGGAGCAGCCACUUGGAAUCAUUCAGAGCCCGCCUUCCACAUGAGACCUGUCUGUCUCACCUGUACUUGGGAUGAAGCCUCCAUAUGCCAGAUAUAGGACUCCCUGAAGCAUGUCCUGCGAGGCCAGUCUAGUAGAGUUGGUCAUAAAGAAUGGCUGUGACCAAGCCUUGUAUGGUCACUGUCCUCAUUCCAAAGAUGCAUGCCCAGUGGAAGGAAUGGGGCACAGCAGGGCCCAUCCAGUCUGCUCAGUGACAUCUCCAUAUGAAACCUCAAGGUCCCUCCCUUGCCCGGUCAUCACCAGAGUCAUCAUCAUUCCUCCUGCAGCAGAUGGGGACAAAGACAGACAACCACAGCCCGACCCUGUGCAGAAACGCCUGCCCCUGGCUCAGCGCCCGGUGCCAACAGAACACCUUCAGGAUUCACAGCAACGCAGAAACCAUGUCCAGGACCCCGGCCUCUGCUUGGAACGGAAUGGUGUCAUGGCGGAGACAACGGCCUUUGUCUUGCUGGGUGUGAAAACAUCCGCCGUGCUGGCUCCUCCACUGCGGCAGAAUCAAGUUUAAAUGAAAAAAGUGAUUAAAGUCAGCUUUGUGCUUCUUUGGUGUGGAAGACCCCAAAACCCCAAGUAGCCGAUUCCCAGGGUCCAAGGAAGGGCUCAUAGUUGGAGCAGCCUGGGCUGUAAUCCUGGCACUUGCGCCUUGCGUUGCUGCUUGCUGUUCGCUCCUGGGGGUCUGGAUAAUCUCCCUUGGCUUUACCGCACUGUCUGGCCCGCAUACAGGGCCCGGUAACAUAUACCCGCUGCUGCUAUCACACGAAACUGUGGCGUUGCCCCUGAAUGGAUGGCACCGUGCCAACUCUUCUGCCAUCCGCCCUUGCAGCUUUUUUUCUUUUCUCCCGCCCUCCCCUUCUUCUCCUCCUCCCGUCGACUUGACGUUAAUUAACACACGGGUUAAUUGAUUUUAAAAGCCGAAGAAUUACAGUUAACUUUUCCCACAGGGUACAGACGCCAGCCGCUUGGCACACUCUGCCUUCCGCACUGGUGCAGGGGGGCAGGGAAAGCCCGCAGCAAAACUAGCAACUGCUGAGGGAACGUUGUCUGCUUAUUGGAGUAGAGCGAUAGAAGUCAGCGUGGCACUGCCUCAUCCUGUACAGUAUAUGGAGCCAUUAUAGAUUUUGUCAAAUAAUCAAACACAUCCCCGUCUUUCCUCUUCCCAACUAGACAACCCCUUCAGAAGUUCUUCGAGAGAUGAGAUAAGCCCCUCCCAAGACCGCUUCUAUCCUCCCUAAAAUGUUUCUUUUCUAGGAGUAAGAAAAAGAUGGUGCUUUUGAGAUUUUUUUUUGAAUUGCUAUGUCUCAGUUUCACAAAGGGAAGGGUGGUACGGUACCCCUACCCUACACAGCACAAGUACAAGUUCCAUAAAGUUCUUCUCCGUGUCUGUUUUGCUUCCACUCCUCUUGGCCAGAUGAGGUUAUUUUGGGUAAUGGAUUUCAGUGAGAAAGUACAUAGUAUAAUUAAGAACAAAACUCCUAGCCAGGCUCUUUGUUAUUUUGUAUGAGUGUGUGUAUCUUUGUUGCCCACCCCCUUUCUCAGAGCCUCUGUCCAAAAUAAAAGCAGUUUGCUCUUGCUGUUGGGAAGGAGUCGGGCAAGGCUGGGAACCGGUGCUCUCACCUUUUCAUGCUUGCCUUCUAUUUCAUUUUGGGGUUUUUUGUUUUUUGUUUUGUUUUGUUUUUUUUUAAAGCACACAGCAAGUGAAGCGACAAGAGGAAUCCAUUAUGCAAAUCAUGCCACUUUGCAUAAUGUCUCAUGACUGGAAUAUGCAAAUGAGCUGUAUAAUUUAUGAGUGCCAGUGUCUGUCUAAAAGUGUUUCACAUAAUUUACAAAGUGAGCUUGAGACAGAGUGGACGCAGCUCCGUCCAAGUCCUUUGCCAGGAAAAGCUGCCUUUUCCAGUAAAUGCCAUUCAUGCUUCCAUUCAUGCUUUCAGCAGGAGCUGUGCCAGAGAUCCCAAGUGUUCAAGAAAGGCAAAGAACUCUCCUUGCCUAAAAGUUUGCAAGAUACUUCAACUUUAGUGGCACAGUCCUUACAUUCCAGCACAACGGCUAGAUUCCAUCUGGGGAAGAAACUGGUAAAGCCAAAUGUGGCAUUUGUAUGUAGGUUUUCUUUUGGGGAUGCAGAAAUAUCUGAGAGGUGUGCAUACCUACUCUCCAUGUCUGGGUAUAGGGAGGCAGGAGAACACAAGUUUGCAUUCCACUUGGCUUUAUGUGUUCUGCUCUAGGCAGCAUUUUAUGAAUUAUAGGCUCUUAGACAUUGGACAGUGAUACACAAGGCCUAGCACGUGGUUGUCUUAUGAAGAUAGACGGUAACCUCAAAGAUGCCUUCAAAGGAGAACUUGCUAAAACCUAGGAUUGAGUAGGCACAUUAGGCGAUCACUCUACAUCAGCCUUGUUAAAAAGUAUUCCUUUGAGAAGAUGACUCAACUCUUUGAGAAGUAGUAAUACCUUUAAUAAUCUGAUAUAAUCUGGUCUUAUAUUUUUAUUAUUAUUACAUAGUACAUAGAGAUACCAGGCACUCAUGGCAGUGCAUAUCUUAGGACCUGACCCUUGGCAGGCAUGCCAAAAAGACUUCCCGAUGAAGAUGAGUCCAAGUCAGCUCUUGGAGUUGAAGAGAAAUCUAACAAAAACAACAGGGAAGUAUUUCUCGCAGAGAAGCAUUGAUCAGCAAAUAUAUACAUUCAUUUGCUAGUGUCUGAUUUCUUAGAUUGUACGUAUUUUAUACAAUUUAGCCCAUAAUGAAACCUACAAUUAACUAUUAAAACACUUUCUAUAUAAGAUCCCAAAUCACUCAAAACUCAUACACUGAAUCAUCAAAGGUCCCAUGUGAAGCAUUUCUUCUUUUAAUAAUCAUUUAAGAAAAUAACUGAGAGUCUGGAGGGGGAGAAAGCUGUGGUUGGGUUGUAAUAUAUGAG